rnacentral:misc_RNA from 1 species
GAUGAAGAACGCAGCGAAAUGCGAUACUUGGUGUGAAUUGCAGAAUCCCGUGAACCAUCGAGUCUUUGAACGCAAGUUGCGCCCGAAGCCAUCAGGUUGAGGGCACGUCUGCCCGGGCGUCACAUAUCGUUGCCCAAUGCCUAUUGCAGUGCAAUAGGAAUUUCUAGGGCGAAUGAUGGCUUCCCGUGAGCGUUGUUGCCUCGCGGUUGGUUGAAAAUCGAGUCCUUGGUAGGGUGUGCCAUGGUAGAUGGUGGUCGAGUUAGAACGAUACCGAUCAUGUGCAUGCUCCCCAAAAUAUGGCCUCUAUGACCCACACGCGUCUUUUGACGCUCAUGACGAGACCUCAGGUCAGGCGGGGCUACCCGCUGAAUUUAAGCAUAUCAAUAAGCGGAGGA